CGGAUUGCAGGCUGCAACCCGCCUGCAUGAAGUUGGAAUCGCUAGUAAUCGCGGAUCAGCAUGCCGCGGUGAAUACGUUCCCGGGCCUUGUACACACCGCCCGUCACACCAUGAGAGUCGGGGACACCCGAAGUCCGUAGUCUAACCGCAAGGGGACGCGGCCGAAGGUGGAUUCGAUAAUUGGGGUGAAGUCGUAACAAGGUAAC
rnacentral:rRNA from 1 species